rnacentral:rRNA from 1 species
UACGAAGGGGGCUAGCGUUGCUCGGAAUCACUGGGCGUAAAGGGUGCGUAGGCGGGUCUUUUAAGUCAGGGGUGAAAUCCUGGAGCUCAACUCCAGAACUGCCUUUGAUACUGAGGAUCUUGAGUCCGGGAGAGGUGAGUGGAACUGCGAGUGUAGAGGUGAAAUUCGUGAGAUAUUCGCAAGAACGACCAGUGGCGAAGGCGGACUCACUGGCCCGGUACUGGACGGCUGAGGCAC